AUGAUGAUGAGGAGGAGGUUGAAAAUAGUGCACAGCAAGCAAGCAGAGAACCUGUUUUCCCCAAGAGCCAGGAACUGUUUCUCACCCUGAACCUGGAGCCAGUACCCCCCGAACCCACCCAAGCUGGGCUCCUGGACCCACUAGGAGGAGAAGGGACCUCUGCUGCAAAUGUUUUAACGCUCACAUUGUCAUCUCCUUCCCAGAGGCUAGCAAAGAUUACAAGGC